GUUAAGGGAGGAAGUCCCUAGCUUCAUGAUGGUCAUCAUUAUCUAAGAUGUACACACUGAAACAGCCUCUCAACUGCCUUACCAUUUUUGUUUCGUGCAAGUAAUCACAGCAUAUGCAUGCUCUGACAAGCCAUCACCAUGUUUCACUCUUUUUUAGCUACUUCCUUGCCACUCCUAGACCACAGGAGACAUAUAACUACACUGGAACUUUGAGGCUAUGCCAAGCCCACCUGCCAACAUUGCCAUCUUUUCCAUAUAGCAGCUGCCAGGAACUCCACAGAGAAGAUGAGCAAUUUGUCCCUCUAUCUCUGAGCCAGGCUCACCACUCCACUUUGUUCCUCCGAGUGAAUAUGUCAGGUGCUACCUUGUUAUUUCACCUUUUACCUGCUCCACUUGGUUUUGAUGAGUGGUGCAACCUUGAGGAAUGAUAUUCAGAGUGUGGGGGUUUGAUGAUCAGGAAAAACAAACAAACAAAAAAACAUAAAAACACUGAGAUUUCUUCACUUCUUUUGAUUGCUGCAGCAACUUGGACUUAAAGAAAUAAAAUAGCCUAUGACAUAAAUCCA
rnacentral:lncRNA from 1 species